UGCAGUCGAGCGAACAGAUAAGGAGCUUGCUCCUUUGACGUUAGCGGCGGACGGGUGAGUAACACGUGGGUAACCUACCUAUAAGACUGGAAUAACUCCGGGAAACCGGGGCUAAUGCCGGAUAACAUUUAGAACCGCAUGGUUCUAAAGUGAAAGAUGGUUUUGCUAUCACUUAUAGAUGGACCCGCGCCGUAUUAGCUAGUUGGUAAGGUAAUGGCUUACCAAGGCAACGAUACGUAGCCGACCUGAGAGGGUGAUCGGCCACACUGGAACUGAGACACGGUCCAGACUCCUACGGGAGGCAGCAGUAGGGAAUCUUCCGCAAUGGGCGAAAGCCUGACGGAGCAACGCCGCGUGAGUGAUGAAGGGUUUCGGCUCGUAAAACUCUGUUAUUAGGGAAGAACAAACGUGUAAGUAACUGUGCACGUCUUGACGGUACCUAAUCAGAA
rnacentral:rRNA from 1 species